AUCUUUGUGCAGUGGCAGUAUUAUAGCCCGUGAGGCUUAUCCGAUGCGUGAUUAAUGCUAAUUGAGAACUUUACCGAAUAUCUGCUUUGAUGACUUGAAAAAUAGUUAGCUGUGGCAAUUUUUGGUAGUCUCCGUUGAGA